GGGGGAGUGCCAGAGCGGUCAAAUGGACUUGACUGUAAAUCAAGCGGCUAUGCCUACGCAGGUUCGAAUCCUGCCUCCCCCA
rnacentral:tRNA from 1 species